rnacentral:rRNA from 1 species
UACAGAGGUCUCAAGCGUUGUUCGGAUUCAUUGGGCGUAAAGGGUGCGUAGGCGGCGCGGUAAGUCGGGUGUGAAAUCUCGGAGCUUAACUCCGAAACUGCAUUCGAUACUGCCGUGCUUGAGGACUGGAGAGGAGACUGGAAUUUACGGUGUAGCGGUGAAAUGCGUAGAUAUCGUAAGGAAGACCAGUGGCGAAGGCGAAUCUCUGGACAGUUACUGACACUGAGGCACGAAGGCCAGGGGAGCAAACAGG